GGGGUCGGUGAGCCGAGGAGUCGAAAGAAAGAUUUCUUAGACUCUUAAGAUCUGGCAGUAGUGCUCUUUUAUUUAGAGAAUAGUGUAGCAUGGGGACAGGACCCAUGGGCAGUCAGAGCUUUUGCUGCCGCUUCUGCUGCCCCCGCUGGCAUGGGGACAGGACCCACAGGCAGUCAGAGCUCCUGCUGCUGCCCUGAGUUGAGGGUUAGGGCUAAAUUUAAGGCAUAGGUAUGUGAGUCAUCUCUUUACGAAGACAAAGGAAAGAACAUGAAAAAAAGUUAAAAUGGUAUCAGUGCAGGUGGGGUCUGGUCAUUGGGUGAUCCCAUGACUUUUAGACAAGAAUCAAAUCGGAUUAAGUAAAGGUCAGAAGCCACCACCCUAAAUCAGUUACAUGAGAUUGCCAGACAGCAACCAACUUAAGUUCUUGCCUUCCCCAUUAAGAGUUUUUAGGGACAAGGUCAUCUCUCUUCUUCUUCCUGGUACAGAGAGGGAGGCACCUUUUACAGAUAGCCCCAGAGCCUCCUUCCCUGUCCCAGUUUAUCGAAAGCAAUCAGCCCAAAACAAUCCUGAUGCCAAAGAGACAUAUCCUGGGGUGGCCAAUUUCAGGUCCCUACAAGGUCAUCCCCCUUCCUUCACAAACGCAAAUGUCUCUCAAAAGGGCAAGCAAAAUUCCAGUCCUUGGAGCCUGCUUCUCAUCUGUAGUUUUAAAAGUAACCAGCCUAAAAUCCUCAUCAUAAACCGUUUUAAAAUUAAGCAGCCUAAAAAUCCUCAUUAUUUACAUAUUUUUAAAAAAUUGUUUUUAGUCACCAUGCUGCACGUCACACCCCCGGAACUUAAUUAUCUUAUAACUGGAAGUUUGUCCCUGCAAAAUGGGGGAAGUUUUGACCCCCUGCGCCCAUUUUCCCAUCCCCCAUCCCCCGCCACCGGCGGCCACCGAUCUGUUUCCCUACCUAGGAGUUUGGUACUUUCAGAUUCCACCUAUAAGUGAGAUCACACAGUAUUUGACUUUCUUCAUCUGGCUGUUUUCACUGAGCAUAAUGUCCUCAAGGUCAAUCCGUGUCCUCGUGAAUGGCAGGAUUUCCUUCUUUAUCAUGGUGAAUAAUAUCCCAUUGUCUGCAUACACCGCAUCUUCUUUAUCCACUCAUCCAUCGAUGGGCACUUAGGUUGUUUCCAGAUCUUGGCUCUGGUGGAGAAUGCUGCAGUGUCAAUUCUAUCUCAAUUUUAAAAAAAGAAUGUUGCAAUGACCUUGGAGAUGUAGAUAUCUCUCUCUCUCUCUUUUUUUUUUUUGGUGAAGAAGAUUGGCCCUGAGUUAACUUCUGUUGCCAAUCCUCAUCUUUUUGCUGAGGAAGAUUGGCCCUGAGCUACCCAGAAAUCUUCUUGAGACACUGCUUUCAUUUCCUUCAGAUAAAUACCCAGAAGUGGAAUAUCUGGAUCAUAUGGUAGUUCUAUUUUUAAUUUUUUGAGGAAAUGCCAUACUGUUUUCCAUAAUGUAUGCACCAAUUUACAUUCAUAUAUAUAUAUAUGAGGUAAAUAUAUGCAUAUUUAAUUGAAAUCAAUUCACAUUUUUGCCUUUUCAAGAUUUUCCAGUAGAUUCACAAUCUUGUACAACCAUCACCACUAUUUGAUUCUGGAAUAUUCCCGUCACCCCAAAAAGAAACCUGCAAACCCCCCAUGCUCCCUCCCCCGGCCCCUGGCACCCACUCCUCUACUCUCUGUCUCUAUGGACUUGCCUGUUCUGGACAUUUCCUAUGAAUGGAAUCGCACAAUAUGUGGCCUUUCGUGUCUGGCUUCUUUCACGGAGCGAAACGUUCAUCAUCUUUCGUGCAAAGUUUGAGUUCUCCUCUGUUGCAGUGUGUCUCAGUAUUUCUUUCCUUUUCAGGGCUGAGUAAUAUUCCCUUACAAGGGUCAAGCACACUCUUAGUAGUUUCCGUCUGUUCCCUUAGACUCAGCUCCGAGAGGGCCCCUCAGGCUCCCCAGGCAGGACGGGCUCCUCCUCUGUGCUCCUACCGGCGUCACAGUUUCGCCUCGCGGCCCUGGGGUGUAAAGUGAAGAUUCCUGACGUCUGGAGGUUGAGCAAAUGUGGCUUUGUUGCGCCACUGCCUCUUCACCCCGCGGUGGAGUCCUGCCCUGCCCCAGCGGAGAAUUCGGCACUGGACUCAGGCCCAGAUCCGCGACUCAAUCCCAUCUCUGAUCGCCAGACUUGGUGUGGGAUGGGGGCCCCGGGCCGGGCCCGCCAGGCUGGAGGCCUCUAUGGGAAAGGGGCUGGUCCCCCUGUGGACUCUCUUCCUGUCCCCAUCACCCUCUCAACCUUUGGGCCCCUCCUGCCCAGGGACAGGGGGAGGGGACAGGGCGGCUCCUCCUCGGCUGGUGGCUCUGCUCUCUUUGGAUGACCCGGCAGGGGGUUUCAGGGCCCCCCCCCAAUGGACUCGGCGGGGAUGUGUUUUGGGGACUCUGAGGCCGUCACUUUCCUGGAGACCCUUGGCUGGGGCACUGGCAUCUCUGAUCCGGAUUGUAGCUCCUCUCUCAGGCCCUCCCAGGGGGCCUCCACGCCGACCCUCAGCCCCUCCCAGGGGGCCUCCACGCCGGCCCUCAGCCCCUCCCAGGGGGCCUCCACGCCGACCACGGAUGAGCAGACCCCUGGCUCCACCAUCAGAGCCAUCUGCCUCUCGUUCUGGGUUUCCUGGGGGUCAGAUCACAGCCCCGUCAGCUCACCUCAGCUUCCUUAAGGCAGAGUCAGCAAGAGUCCUGGGCAUCCUGCCUUGGGGACACUUUUCAAAGGUUGUGAAGUCGCCUCCCUCUUUGGGCUCUGGGCCAACCCGUGUCCCAAGAAGGUGGAUGGGGACUUGCAGGUAGAAAUAGCUCCCCUGAACAAAUGUCUUCACCCAUCUUUUUUGGUGAGGAAGAUUGGCCUUGAGCUAACAUCUGUGCCAAUCUUCUUGUAUUUUCUACGUGGGAUGCCAUGACAGCGUGGCUUGAUGAGCAGUGUGUUGGUCC
ensembl:lncRNA